rnacentral:rRNA from 1 species
UGGGGAAACCCAGUGUGUUUCGACACACUAUCAUUAACUGAAUCCAUAGGUUAAUGAGGCGAACCGGGGGAACUGAAACAUCUAAGUACCCCGAGGAAAAGAAAUCAACCGAGAUUCCCCCAGUAGCGGCGAGCGAACGGGGAGGAGCCCAGAGCCUGAAUCAGUGUGUGUGUUAGUGGAAGCGUCUGGAAAGGCGUGCGAUACAGGGUGACAGCCCCGUACACAAAAAUGCACAUAUUGUGAGCUCGAUGAGUAGGGCGGGACACGUGGUAUCCUGUCUGAAUAUGGGGGGACCAUCCUCCAAGGCUAAAUACUCCUGACUGACCGAUAGUGAACCAGUACCGUGAGGGAAAGGCGAAAAGAACCCCGGCGAGGGGAGUGAAAAAGAACCUGAAACCGUGUACGUACAAGCAGUGGGAGCCUCUUAAUGGGGUGACUGCGUACCUUUUGUAUAAUGGGUCAGCGACUUAUAUUCUGUAGCAAGGUUAACCGAAUAGGGGAGCCGAAGGGAAACCGAGUCUUAACUGGGCGUUAAGUUGCAGGGUAUAGACCCGAAACCCGGUGAUCUAGCCAUGGGCAGGUUGAAGGUUGGGUAACACUAACUGGAGGACCGAACCGACUAAUGUUGAAAAAUUAGCGGAUGACUUGUGGCUGGGGGUGAAAGGCCAAUCAAACCGGGAGAUAGCUGGUUCUCCCCGAAAGCUAUUUAGGUAGCGCCUCGUGAAUUCAUCUCCGGGGGUAGAGCACUGUUUCGGCAAGGGGGUCAUCCCGACUUACCAACCCGAUGCAAACUGCGAAUACCGGAGAAUGUUAUCACGGGAGACACACGGCGGGUGCUAACGUCCGUCGUGAAGAGGGAAACAACCCAGACCGCCAGCUAAGGUCCCAAAGUCAUGGUUAAGUGGGAAACGAUGUGGGAAGGCCCAGACAGCCAGGAUGUUGGCUUAGAAGCAGCCAUCAUUUAAAGAAAGCGUAAUAGCUCACUGGUCGAGUCGGCCUGCGCGGAAGAUGUAACGGGGCUAAACCAUGCACCGAAGCUGCGGCAGCGACACUAUGUGUUGUUGGGUAGGGGAGCGUUCUGUAAGCCUGUGAAGGUGGCCUGUGAGGGUUGCUGGAGGUAUCAGAAGUGCGAAUGCUGACAUAAGUAACGAUAAAGCGGGUGAAAAGCCCGCUCGCCGGAAGACCAAGGGUUCCUGUCCAACGUUAAUCGGGGCAGGGUGAGUCGACCCCUAAGGCGAGGCCGAAAGGCGUAGUCGAUGGGAAACAGGUUAAUAUUCCUGUACUUGGUGUUACUGCGAAGGGGGGACGGAGAAGGCUAUGUUGGCCGGGCGACGGUUGUCCCGGUUUAAGCGUGUAGGCUGGUUUUCCAGGCAAAUCCGGAAAACCAAGGCUGAGGCGUGAUGACGAGGCACUACGGUGCUGAAGCGACAAAUGCCCUGCUUCCAGGAAAAGCCUCUAAGCAUCAGGUAACAUCAAAUCGUACCCCAAACCGACACAGGUGGUCAGGUAGAGAAUACCAAGGCGCUUGAGAGAACUCGGGUGAAGGAACUAGGCAAAAUGGUGCCGUAACUUCGGGAGAAGGCACGCUGAUAUGUAGGUGAAGCGACUUGCUCGUGGAGCUGAAAUCAGUCGAAGAUACCAGCUGGCUGCAACUGUUUAUUAAAAACACAGCACUGUGCAAACACGAAAGUGGACGUAUACGGUGUGACGCCUGCCCGGUGCCGGAAGGUUAAUUGAUGGGGUUAGCGGUAACGCGAAGCUCUUGAUCGAAGCCCCGGUAAACGGCGGCCGUAACUAUAACGGUCCUAAGGUAGCGAAAUUCCUUGUCGGGUAAGUUCCGACCUGCACGAAUGGCGUAAUGAUGGCCAGGCUGUCUCCACCCGAGACUCAGUGAAAUUGAACUCGCUGUGAAGAUGCAGUGUACCCGCGGCAAGACGGAAAGACCCCGUGAACCUUUACUAUAGCUUGACACUGAACAUUGAGCCUUGAUGUGUAGGAUAGGUGGGAGGCUUUGAAGUGUGGACGCCAGUCUGCAUGGAGCCGACCUUGAAAUACCACCCUUUAAUGUUUGAUGUUCUAACGUUGGCCCGUAAUCCGGGUUGCGGACAGUGUCUGGUGGGUAGUUUGACUGGGGCGGUCUCCUCCUAAAGAGUAACGGAGGAGCACGAAGGUUGGCUAAUCCUGGUCGGACAUCAGGAGGUUAGUGCAAUGGCAUAAGCCAGCUUGACUGCGAGCGUGACGGCGCGAGCAGGUGCGAAAGCAGGUCAUAGUGAUCCGGUGGUUCUGAAUGGAAGGGCCAUCGCUCAACGGAUAAAAGGUACUCCGGGGAUAACAGGCUGAUACCGCCCAAGAGUUCAUAUCGACGGCGGUGUUUGGCACCUCGAUGUCGGCUCAUCACAUCCUGGGGCUGAAGUAGGUCCCAAGGGUAUGGCUGUUCGCCAUUUAAAGUGGUACGCGAGCUGGGUUUAGAACGUCGUGAGACAGUUCGGUCCCUAUCUGCCGUGGGCGCUGGAGAACUGAGGGGGGCUGCUCCUAGUACGAGAGGACCGGAGUGGACGCAUCACUGGUGUUCGGGUUGUCAUGCCAAUGGCACUGCCCGGUAGCUAAAUGCGGAAGAGAUAAGUGCUGAAAGCAUCUAAGCACGAAACUUGCCCCGAGAUG